UACAGAGGUCUCAAGCGUUGUUCGGAUUCAUUGGGCGUAAAGGGUGCGUAGGCGGCGCGGUAAGUCGGGUGUGAAAUCUUGGAGCUUAACUCCGAAACUGCAUUCGAUACUGCCGUGCUUGAGGACUGGAGAGGAGACUGGAAUUUACGGUGUAGCGGUGAAAUGCGUAGAUAUCGAGAGGAACACCUGCGGCGAAGGCGGGUUGCUGGGCUGACACUGACGCUGAAACGCGAAAGCUAGGGGAGCGAACGGG
rnacentral:rRNA from 1 species